rnacentral:rRNA from 1 species
CCUACGGGAGGCAGCAGUGGGGAAUAUUGCACAAUGGGGGAAACCCUGAUGCAGCGACGCCGCGUGAGUGAAGAAGUAUUUCGGUAUGUAAAGCUCUAUCAGCAGGGAAGAAAUAAAGUCGUUCGGACUUUGGACGGUACCUGAUUACUACGCGCCGGCUAACUACGUGCCAGCAGCCUCGGUAAUACGUAGGGGGCAAGCGUUAUCCGGAUUUACUGGGUGUAAAGGGAGCGUAGACGGCAGCGCAAGUCUGGAGUGAAAUCCCAUGGCUUAACCAUGGAACUGCUUUGGAAACUGUGCAGCUGGAGUGCAGGAGAGGUCAGCGGAAUUCCUAGUGUAGCGGUGAAAUGCGUAGAUAUUAGGAGGAACACCAGUGGCGAAGGCGGCUUACUGGACUGUAACUGACGUUGAGGCUCGAAAGCGUGGGGAGCAAACAGGAUUAGAUACCCUAGUAGUC